UACGAAGGGGGCUAGCGUUGCUCGGAAUUACUGGGCGUAAAGCGCACGUAGGCGGUCUUUUAAGUCGGAGGUGAAAUCCUGGAGCUCAACUCCAGAACUGCCUUCGAUACUGGAAGACUUGAGUCCGGGAGAGGUGAGUGGAACUGCGAGUGUAGAGGUGAAAUUCGUAGAUAUUCGCAAGAACACCAGUGGCGAAGGCAGCCAUCUGGACCGACACUGACGCUGAGGCGCGAAAGCGUGGGGAGCAAACAGG
rnacentral:rRNA from 1 species